CAAUGUGCACUCACGAAAAGACCACUUCAAUUAGAACAUCGAAUAAGCCAAGAAAUCUAGGGCGAUCAUUCUUUGAGUGUCCAAAGUACAAUACAAAAGGGCUACCACACUACAACUAUUUCAAAUGGGCAGACAGCAGUGAGGAAAGAGAAAAAGAAUUUGUGAAGAUAGAAAUUGAGUUGUUAAGGAAGAAGGAAAGUUUCGAAAAA